UACGUAGGGGCUAGCGUUGUCCGGAAUUACUGGGCGUAAAGAGCUCGUAGGUGGUUUGUCGCGUCGUCUGUGAAAUUCCGGGGCUUAACUCCGGGCGUGCAGGCGAUACGGGCAUAACUUGAGUACUGUAGGGGAGACUGGAAUUCCUGGUGUAGCGGUGAAAUGCGCAGAUAUCAGGAGGAACACCGAUGGCGAAGGCAGGUCUCUGGGCAGUAACUGACGCUGAGGAGCGAAAGCAUGGGGAGCGAACAGGAUUAGAUACCCCGGUA
rnacentral:rRNA from 1 species